GUGUAUGUGAGUUUUUUUUUACUUCAGUUUGUUUGAAACAGAAAUAAAAUAAUUUUUAUAAAUAUCAAACUCUAUCUAAAAUUGCAUUUUUAAUACUAUAUAUAAAAAACAAAUUAUUCUGCAGAAAAUGCAUCAUAAAAGCAGGUAAUAUAGCAGUAACAAAAAUUUUUAGUUUAUACGAGGGUAACGAACUUCUCGAAUAAAUUUUUAUUUUUGAAUUCAAAUAUAAAACGACAUUAACUUUUUUAUUAUAGAUUUUUUUCCUUAUAUUUAAGCUAAAAAAUUAUUUUUAUAAACAUCUUACUAAAAUUUCUCAUAAUCUUCCCUUUUCAUACUGAAGGAUUUCAAAAAUAAUAAUAAAAAAGGAUAAAUUAAUUCAGUGAGGUAAACGGAGUAUUAACUUUUAAAAAAGCAUAAGCAAAAUAAUCCAUAUGCACUUAGAAUUGCUGCUCGAUCCAGUUGGAUCUAUGAAGUUCGAAUUUUUUCGUAAAUAAACAGAUGACUGGGAGCUUGAGCUUUUUUGCAAAUAAGCUCGAGUUCGAUCCUUGAGCCUUUUUAAAUUAGUUAACGGUAUUUAUUGAACAAUAUAAAAUUAUGUUAUCACACAGAUGCCGAAACAGAAAUUGCUAAAGGAUAUCUGUAGUGAUUUGACGGUUUUGUUUAAUUGUAGUAGUGAUAAUUAUGAGAACAAUCUUGUGACUACUAGAUAUAUAACGAUGUGGCAGCAUUAUACAAUACUGUACAUACAUAACAUGUAUAUACAUAAUGUAACCAAUGCUGAUCGAAUGUUGCUAUUUCAUUCAACUGUUUUUUAGCAUAUUUUAACUUAUUUUUGCAUGAGUUAUUUACUUUUACACUCAUUUUUAUUAAUUAAAUUUUUACAUUUAUGCCUGUUGAUCAAAUUAUUGCUGUU
rnacentral:lncRNA from 1 species